UCCACAAGAGGCGGGGCGAAGGUGGGUGUGUGUGUGCGUGUGUGAGUGUGCGCGUGUGUGUGUGAGGAAGAGAGUGUGUGUAUAUGUGUGUGACACAGCUGAUGCACGCAGCCCUUUCAAGCUACCUCCAUCACCCCCCAUCUCCGCUCCGGGCGACAGCGGCAGCGGCUCCUCAGACCAGCCCUGCGACCCACGGACCACACCGGACAUUGUACAGGAAGCGAUCGGACCAGCGGUCGCGGAAAGUCAGCCAGCCAGAACUGCACGGCGCUGCUGCUGAUAUGUGCGUGUCUGCUGCUUGGUGUGGUGACACCACCCCCCAGGUCCUGUGUGGCGUGUGGGUAGCAGAGUGAGGGCACCGCCCCGCCCGGCAUGGGCAGUGCUGGCAGCGGGGUAGCCAAUCACCAGUCAACAUUCGCUAUGCGCAGCGUGGGCACUCGCACCACCACCAUCACCGCCACCGCCGGUGCCCCCAACACUCAGGGCAGCGGCCUGUCACGCGGCCCAUCCCUGCCCCCCGGCACCUCCACUCGCCGUCGCCUCGAUGACCGUAGCUACAGCGCCGAGCGACCCCCCCACCCGGCCAACGCCUUGGGCCCUCCCAAGACUGGGGGCCCGCCGGGCGACGAGCGCAGUUACGGCAACGCAGAGAGCUCGUAUUACGGAGGGGGCACGGAAAAACCGCCACCACAGCCAGAUGGCGCAGAGCGCUUGGCCACACACACCAAUGCCAACCGGCACCUGACCAACGGGGAGCGGAUGGUGGCCAACACCGCCUUCCUGAACGGGUUGGUGCGGCGUGACGGACACCAUGACCGCGGGCGGACGUCAGAGGCCAUGUCUGGGCCGGGCUCGAUGGGGGUGGACAUCUGUGGUAACAGCGUGGCCCUCAAUAAUGACAAGAACAGCAGCCUUCAGAUGACAACACACUUCAAGGACAACCCCAACGCCAAGCUGGACAACCACAAAAACCCCCCAAACAUCCUGCCUGUCUCUGGGAAACUGGAGCAGAAUGAUGGCCUGGUCCGUCCUUCAGCUUUCAAACCGGUAGUGCCCAAGAGUUUUCACUCAAUGCAGAACCUGGUGUCCCCCGCCCAAAAGGGAC
ensembl:lncRNA